AUUCAUCGUUUCAACUGGUUGAUGCAAAGCUGCACAAGAAUUCAUGUCAGGAAAAAGUAAAUUAAUUUUAAGUUUAUCAUCAAUACUCCAUAUUAGUUCAUCAUGAUCCAUUUCUUAGACUCUUUAUCACUUAUCAACUAACAAAACAGGAAUCAGUAACUUGUUUCAGUGCCAAGUAUUCAUUUCUUCAAAUUAAAGUUAUCAUAAAGUUGAUUCACUUCAACAGUUUGUAUCAUAACUCUCACCAAAUAAUCAUUCAUCAAGCCAAUGUGAUUGUUGAUUGUGCAGCCAAAGUGAAAAAGUGGACUGAAAAUUGAUUACAAACUUCCUUCACUUGUUACGUGUUGACAUUUAACGGUUAAAAAUAGAAACUUGAGUUAUCAAAGAUCAAUCCUUGUUCAUCACUCCCAGUCAAUGCUGUCAAACAAACAGUUCAAAAUGGGAAUGUUUGAAUAAUAGUUGAGUUCAAUUUGAAUCACAUUUCAAUAUCUUGAGUUGAAUUGAAACUCUGCAAAUUAAACCUUAGGCAAACGAAUCCAAUUAGUUGAAAAUCGAGUCAACUUUUUCUCUCAAUUUGAGCAAAUAAAAGUUCAACAAAAGAUACAAAUUUAUUCCAAAUUUUUCAUGAUGCAUUGAAGCUCGAUACAAAAGUAGCAAUCAAUUGCCUUAGUUGAACCUUCAAAAUUAUCUCUGAAAUCAAUACUCGAAGAAUGAUUAUCUUGUAAAGUAAGAAAUUAAAAGAUAUUGAAAUGUCGAUUCAGAAAUGCUCUUCAUUUUGGUGAAGUUAUUUUUGGUUAAACUUUUUGAACAAUUUAUUCACCUUUACUCAGCAAUAAUUAAUAAGGAGAUAAAGCAUUGAAAGCAUCAACUUUGCUCAGAUUGAUUCAAGUUGAUAUUGUUGAAUAAGUUAUUGAUCAUGAUGGAUAAUACAGUGAUAAGUGAUAACAAUUUAACAUCAAAAUUGAUUCCAAUCGAAACGAGUUUCAAUGUUUCAUCCAACCCAACAUUUCAUCGUUAUAAUACAACUUGGAGAGAUGUAAUUGAACCUUCACUCAUUGGCUAUAUUCCCGACUUUUGGUUAAACUUUGAACCUCCCAAAAAAUAUCAACACUACAUACUUGGUGUAACAUAUCUGCUUAUCCUGGUUCCGGCCAUUUUCGGCAACGGAGCAAUUAUAUGGCUCUUCUAUCGUUGCCGUAACCUGCGAACUCCAUCAAACAUUUUAGUCGUGAAUCUUGCACUAGCCGAUUUGAUACAAAACUUAAAGAUGCCUCUUUUCAUCUACAAUAGCUUUAAAUGUGGACCUGCCACGGGCGAGUUGGGCUGUAAAAUUUAUGGAUUCUUUGGUGGCCUUUCCGGAACAUCAGCAAUCAUGACAAUAGCCAUGAUGGCAAUGGAACGUUUAAAUUCAAUUUCAAAACCCUUAUCACCCCAUUCACGUCUCUCUAUGCGUAGAGCAUUGGUUAUUUCAACGCUGAUCUGGAUCUAUUCAUUAAUCUUUUCAACUCCUCCUGUUUUCCAUCUCUUCAAUCGUUAUGUUCCUGAAGGAUAUUUAACUUCAUGUUCCUUUGACUAUCUCUCAAAAGAUCUUGUUUCCCGAAUUUACAUUUUUGCCUUUUUUACGGCAGCCUGGAUUGUCCCCUUAACCCUGAUUGUGACCUCGUACGUGGGUAUCAUCAUUGCCGUUGAAAGGAAUGAAACCAUGUUCCAGAAGACUCAGGAUAGACUGUGUGAACGUGCAUCCUCAGUGUACCGAGCCUCUCUUCGUGACUCUCGAGGUCGAUCUGUCAAGGAAAGUGGUAAAAUGGAGAUGAGAUUGGUUAAAAUUGUACUUUCCUUAAUUGCUUUUUGGAUACUCUCGUGGACACCUUAUGCUAUCAUUUCUCUUCUUGGUCUUCUCGAUCAAUCUUACAUUACUCCAACCUCAUCCAUGAUUCCUGCUAUCUUUGCCAAGCUUUCAUCCGUUGUUAAUCCAUACCUUUAUGGACUUGGUAAUCCUAGAUUUAAACGUGAACUUAAACGUAAACUGUGCUUCUGUGUGGCCAAUAAAGCUUCCGUUGAACGGCGAGCCGUUAUCCAAUCAACAGUUACUCUGGGUGACCCAAAAGAGGGAACACAAUUUGUUCACAUAUCUGAUGGUAAUUUAUCUGAAAUUGAAUUAUCUGACUACGAGAAUCGAUGAUGUUACCUUUCAUCAUAGGCUUGCAAGUGCAACUAGCUCAGUGAAAUAGUGAAGAAUACGUAAAGAAAAAAAUUAUUCAUGUCUAUUUGAAAUAGUCAAUUAUCAUGAAAAUAAACCAAGUCAAGCAAACUGCACCUUUUUUGAACAACAAGGAACAAAACAAAUGAAAACAAAAGUCUCUACUCAAAAUACUGAAUUAUUAGCAUAAAUUAACUAAAUUUAAAGCUAUUUUUGUUUGUUCCUUUUCUGUGAAACUUGUAUUCUUCACUGAAUUUUGUUGAUACCAAAGAAAUUUAUUUGCCAACAAAAGGAUUUGGUGCUUAAUCUAAUCAACGAAAGAACCAUCACAAUUCAAGGGAUAAUUUAAUCAAUGGAUGAAGACUACAAAGAAUCGACACUAUUUUUUUCAACUCACACCAAUAGACAAAUUAUGACAGAUACCUGGUUAUCUCUAAAUUUACUAUAAACUCAACUAUUACUGAACGCUAUGCUGAACAAAUGUGCUCUUUCCUCGUCCCAAGAAUCAACCAAAAAAGGCUAAUAUUUACCACUUUUACAAGCAACUCUCUCCAGGAAAAAGCAAACCAAAGACCAACUCUAUAUCACUUUACACACAUAAUCCAAGCUUCAUCUGUUGACCAUCAUUUCAUUCAAAUGGUCAACCUGUUUAUAAUUGUUAAUAUUGAAAGUGUUUACCUUUUGUUAGCCUUCUCCCAAAGGGAAAAAUUGUCCCUGAAAUAGUGUAAAGGUACUGAUGAAGUUAAUACAAAUUAUGAUAAUGAUGAAUAAUAUAUUAUUAACUCAGUAAAUGUACAGACACAAUGAACACAGUGAAGCAGAUAUACAAAAAAACAACCAUGAAUGUAAACUAAAUAUUUUGCAAUGAAAAAGACAGCAAUUAUGAAAAGAUGAUUGCGAUUUGAUAUUAGCAAAAAUAUUAAGUGAAGCAAACAUAGGAAAAGCAGAUUAAUAUAUGAAUAUAAAUACUAUCAACAAAAUAAUGAAAGGUAAAAAUAUCAAUAUAAGUAUUAAUGGCUAGUGAUAUGAGCAUAUUUAAUAAAAAAAAGCUUUGUCCAUCUUUAUCAUGACAUGAGUUAACCAUCAUCUUAAUGUGUAUAAAUGUAACCUUAGUUGAUCAUAAAUUCAGUUCACACUGAGUUGUAAUGUAAACUGCAUAGUUUAAGCGUAUUUUACUGAAUCCCUCUCAAAUAAGAAUAGAGAAAAUGUUUAAUUAUUUUCUAUUAAACGAUCACCCAAUCUAAAUUGUACGAUAAUUUAA